UCGAACGAGGUAGCGAUACCUAGUGGCAGACGGGUGAGUAACACGUGGUCAACCUGCCUCCGUGUGGGGGAUAACUAGCCGAAAGGUUAGCUAAUACCGCAUACGAUCGUUUGAGGGCAUCCUCGGACGAUGAAAGGAGCAAUCCGCACGGAGAGGGGACUGCGUCCCAUUAGUUUGUUGGUGGGGUAACGGCCUACCAAGACCGCGAUGGGUAGCUGGCUUGAGAGAGCGACCAGCCACACUGGAACUGAGACACGGUCCAGACUCCUACGGGAGGCAGCAGUGAGGAAUUUUCCGCAAUGGGCGAAAGCCUGACGGAGCGACGCCGCGUGUGGGAAGAAGGCCUUCAGGUCGUAAACCACUGUCGAAGGGGACGAUAUUGACGGUACCCUUGGAGGAAGCCCCGGCUAACUACGUGCCAGCAGCCGCGGUAAGACGUAGGGGGCAAGCGUUGUCCGGAAUUAUUGGGCGUAAAGCGCUCGUAGGUGGAUCGGCAAGUCCGCAAGCAAAGACCCGGGCUCAACUC
rnacentral:rRNA from 1 species